rfam:Ipomoea nil DNA, scaffold: scaffold3192, cultivar: Tokyo-kokei standard.
GGAUUUGUGGGGCAAUGGUAGCGCGUUUGACUCCAGAUUAGAAGGUUGUGUGGUCGAUUCACGUCAGGUUCA